GUGCGAGCUAGACCGGGGAGCUCGGCGUUCCCUGCAACCAGAAACCGUCGAUAUGCUGGGGUCGAAGUCAAGAGGCGGUGUGUCCGGCGGCAGGUGAUCCAUCUGCGGACGAUGAAACUUCGUCCCUGGGGAUCGGAGGUGAUGAUCGCGUAUGAUCGGAGGAUCACAUGCUCAUCUUUGCUGCGAGCACCGGGUCAGGCACGGAAGUGAGCAGCCCUACCGCAGACUCUCGAUGCUCUAGGGGUAAGCGGGGUUGAGAAAGCAGAUGGGAAGUCAUCUGCCGUCUUGCAUACCCACUCGCGACGUGCUCGCAU
rnacentral:SRP_RNA from 1 species